AUCUAGGCUGACCCCCAACGGCGCUGGCACUGUGUCGAGCUGGCGCGCGCUUCUGCUUGAGGGACAGCGUGGUUCAGCGACGACGAGAUGCUCGUCCAUCUCCUCCUCAUCGACCAAAUCGUCCAGGAUUCCUCAUCCACCGCCGCGCCCAAGUUUCAGUGCGCCAUCUACUCGGCUCCUACUCCAAUGUUGCUGAGUUCAGGUCACAACAUUGUGAUCUCCUUUUUCUUCGAGAAGAAUCCAUCCAAUGCUCUGAUGUAGAAAAGGCAACAAAAGUAGUUUCAUUCGUCCAUGGAUGCUUGGUCCGGCCUCUCGAGAAAGGGCUAUACUAUAUAUGCUGCAAUAUGCACUUGCCGCCCUGUACGAAUUCAAGCAAUCAGCACUCUGAUUAUUCCGUCUGUACACAAUUGCCUUUGCUUUCUCAACCAUGGGUACAAUUUCUCUCAUCUUUUCUGGAGAUCCCACACUAUUCCUUCAGAGCAGGAAGUGCACUUUUGAAAGGUGUUAGCAUGCUUCAUAAUUGCCUAUGCACCUGGUAACUAUAUGAUGUUAGCAUCAGUUGCUCCUGUGACUGCCAUGGGAUUCUCUCUCACCAGUUUACUCAUAGUGUUCAAUCCAAUUUGGGAACUUAAAAUCAAGGGUAUUGUUCUGUUAGUGGCAUUCUGCAAGAGAAAGGGGAUAUGGUACGGGGUAGUCAUCAUGGCAAAACCAAUUGCAGCCUUAUUGUCUGUGACAUUCGUGUCCCUUAUUCUACUUCUACUACUGGACUUGUCGUUGGUCUCGAUGAGUCAUCUGGUGGCAAAGUGGAACCACCAGCACAACCACCGACACCAUUCAUAGAAACAACUAGAGUGACAUUGUGGGUGCGUGGAGGUGGUUUCAUCCUCAUCGACGGUGGAGACAAGAUCAAGGACUGGACCAACGCGGUCUUCGCACACGAACCAGUGUGGGCCAGUGGCACCGGUAAAGUAGCAUCACCGGCUUAGGAAGUUAUCUACAGAGCAUCCGCUUGGAUCCGUGCGUGAUCGUUACUCACUCCUACGGACUCCAGGGAGCUUUUGGUUACUGGGUGCAACCGGCGGGAGAAGGUAGCACGAACUAUUUACAACCGAUUUGGAAGGCGGUCCACUAAUAGGAGAGAUGUUUAGUCGUCUAGUCACGUUUCAUUGCCGGUUAUGGCUCUGUUUAUUUUUUUUGUACUUUUUUUUGCUCCUUCUGCAAGUUGUACUGCACUAUGGACCUUGGUUUGCUACUUUUUUAAUAAAA